AACGAACGCUGGCGGCAGGCCUAACACAUGCAAGUCGAGCGCACCCUUCGGAGUGAGCGGCGGACGGGUUAGUAACGCGUGGGAACGUGCCCAGAUCUAAGGAAUAGCCACUGGAAACGGAGAGUAAUACCGCAUACGCCCUUCGGGGGAAAGAUUUAUCGGAUUUGGAUCGGCCCGCGUUAGAUUAGGUAGUUGGUGGGGUAACGGCCUACCAAGCCGACGAUCCAUAGCUGGUUUGAGAGGAUGAUCAGCCACACUGGGACUGAGACACGGCCCAGACUCCUACGGGAGGCAGCAGUGGGGAAUCUUAGACAAUGGGGCAACCCUGAUCUAGCCAUGCCGCGUGAGUGACGAAGGCCCUAGGGUCGUAAAGCUCUUUCGCCAGGGAUGAUAAUGACAGUACCUGGUAAAGAACCCCGGCUAAC
rnacentral:rRNA from 1 species